rnacentral:rRNA from 1 species
AGAGUUUGAUCCUGGCUCAGAUUGAACGCUGGCGGCAUGCCCUUACACAUGCAAGUCGAACGGCAGCACGGGGGCAACCCUGGUGGCGAGUGGCGAACGGGUGAGUAAUACAUCGGAACGUGUCCUGUAGUGGGGGAUAGCCCGGCGAAAGCCGGAUUAAUCCCGCAUACGAUCUACGGAAGAAAGCGGGGGACCGAAAGGCCUCGCGCUAUAGGGGCGGCCGAUGGCAGAUUAGCUAGUUGGUGGGGUAAAGGCCUACCAAGGCGACGAUCUGUAGCUGGUCUGAGAGGACGACCAGCCACACUGGGACUGAGACACGGCCCAGACUCCCUACGGGAGGCAGCAGUGGGGAAUUUUGGACCAUGGGGGAAACCCUGAUCCAGCAAUGCCCGCGUGUGUGAAGAAGGCCCUUCGGGUUGUAAAAGCACUUUUGUCCGGAA